rnacentral:rRNA from 1 species
GAUGGACGCUGGCGGCGUGCCUAAUACAUGCAAGUCGAGCGGCAGCACGGUCUUCGGACUGGUGGCGAGCGGCGGACGGCUGAGUAACGCGUAGGAACGUACCCCAAAGUGAGGGAUAAGCACCAGAAAUGGUGUCUAAUACCGCAUGUGCUCUACGGAGUAAAGCUUUUGCGCUUUGGGAGCGGCCUGCGCAUGAUUAGCUAGUUGGUGAGGUAAUAGCUCACCAAGGCGAUGAUCAUUAGCUGGUCUGAGAGGAUGAUCAGCCGGACUGGGACUGAGACACGGCCCAGACUCCUACGGGAGGCAGCAGUAGGGAAUUUUCCACAAUGGGCGAAAGCCUGAUGGAGCAACGCCGCGUGCAGGAUGAAGGCCUUCGGGUUGUAAACUGCUUUAUGUGAGACGAAUAUGACGGUAACACGUGAAUAAGGACCUGCUAACUACGUGCCAGCCGCCGCGGUAA